AUCUCUUCUUGGCCUUUUGGCUAUGAUCAAGUGUAGUACCUGUUCUUAUCAGUUUAAUAGCUAAUGUGUCCUCUAUCUGAGGACAGCAUAUUAAAUGGAUUUUGGGGUGGGGAGAUGGAGUAGGAGCUUGCCUUGCUCACUCCACACAUUGACCUGGUAUUGUUAGAACCUCCAGGAGGGUGUACCCCUU
rnacentral:snRNA from 1 species